rnacentral:rRNA from 1 species
CCUACGGGUGGCAGCAGUGAGGAAUAUUGGGCAAUGGGCGCGAGCCUGACCCAGCCAAGUAGCGUGAAGGAUGACUGCCCUACGGGUUUUAAACUUCUUUUAUAAAGGAGUAAAGUGAGGCACGUGUGCCUUUUUGUAUGUACUUUAUGAAUAAGGAUCGGCUAACUCCGUGCCAGCAGCCGCGGUAAUACGGAGGAUCCGAGCGUUAUCCGGAUUUAUUGGGUUUAAAGGGAGCGUAGAAGGGUUGUAAAGUCAGUUGGGAAAGUUUGCGGCUCAACCGUAAAAUUGCAAAUGAUACUGGCAGUCUUGAGUACAGUAGAGGUAGGCGGAAUUCGUGGUGUAGCGGUGAAAUGCGUAGAUAUCACGAAGAACCCCGAUUGCGAAGGCAGCUUACUAAACUGUGACUGACAUUGAUGCUCGAAAGUGUGGGUAUCAAACAGGAUUAGAUACCCUAGUAGUC